rnacentral:misc_RNA from 1 species
UUACAUCAGAACUUUUGCCCGUGUGGACCGAUUUCGACAAAUUUUGUUUUAAUCGAAAGGUGGUGUGUGCCAAUUGGUCCCAUUUAAAUUUAUUUGUGAUCUAACAACUACUUUUCGAGUUAUAUCUAAUAAUGUGUUUUUACUUGACGCUUUUUUCGUCGACCUACGUUGUAUUAUACCGCAUAACUUUCUACUGGAUGUACCGAUUUUGAUAAUUCUUUUUUUAUUGGAAA